AGUCUCCUGAAGGAACGUUGAAGACGACGACGUUGAUAGGCCGGGUGUGUAAGCGCAGCGAUGCGUUGAGCUAACCGGUACUAAUAAACCGUGAGGCUUAACCUUACAACGCCGAAG
rnacentral:rRNA from 1 species